rnacentral:rRNA from 1 species
GACGAACGCUGGCGGCGUGCCUAAUACAUGCAAGUCGAACGCUGAAGGAGGAGCUUGCUUCUCUGGAUGAGUUGCGAACGGGUGAGUAACGCGUAGGUAACCUGCCUGGUAGCGGGGGAUAACUCUUGGAAACGAUAGCUAAUACCGCAUAAGAGUAGAUGUUGCAUGACAUUUGCUUAAAAGGUGCAAUUGCAUCACUACCAGAUGGACCUGCGUUGUAUUAGCUAGUUGGUGGGGUAACGGCUCACCAAGGCGACGAUACAUAGCCGACCUGAGAGGGUGAUCGGCCACACUGGGACUGAGACACGGCCCAGACUCCUACGGGAGGCAGCAGUAGGGAAUCUUCGGCAAUGGACGGAAGUCUGACCGAGCAACGCCGCGUGAGUGAAGAAGGUUUUCGGAUCGUAAAGCUCUGUUGUAAGAGAAGAACGAGUGUGAGAGUGGAAAGUUCACACUGUGACGGUAUCUUACCAGAAAGGGACGGCUAACUACGUG